rnacentral:rRNA from 1 species
UACGGAGGGGGCUAGCGUUGUUCGGAUUUACUGGGCGUAAAGCGCACGUAGGUGGAUUGUUAAGUGAGAGGUGAAAUCCCAGGGCUCAACCCUGGAACUGCCUUUCAUACUGGCAAUCUUGAGUUCGGAAGAGGUGAGUGGAAUUCCUAGUGUAGAGGUGAAAUUCGUAGAUAUUAGGAAGAACACCGGUGGCGAAGGCGGCUCACUGGUCCGAUACUGACACUGAGGUGCGAAAGCGUGGGGAGCAAACAGG